AGAUUUAAAAGAAUAGGUAUAUAUCAUUUUCUA
rnacentral:tRNA from 1 species